rnacentral:piRNA from 1 species
UAUUUGGAUUGGAUUCAUGUUUGGGG